UCCGAGUUAACCCCGGCAGUCUCCUAUGAGUCCCCACCAUUACGUGCUGGCAACAUAGGACGAGGGUUGCGCUCGUUGCGGGACUUAACCCAUCAUCUCACGACACGAGCUGACGACAGCCAUGCAGCACCUGUGUUACCGUUCCCUUUCGGGCACACCCACCUCUCGGCGGGCUUCGGUACAUGUCAAGGGUAGGUAAGGUUUUUCGCGUUGCAUCGAAUUAAUCCACAUAAUCCACCGCUUGUGCGGGUCCCCGUCAAUUCCUUUGAGUUUUAGCCUUGCGGCCGUACUCCCCAGGCGGGGCACUUAAUGCGUUAGCUACGGCGCGGAAAACGUGGAAUGUCCCCCACACCUAGUGCCCAACGUUUACGGCAUGGACUAC
rnacentral:misc_RNA from 1 species